rnacentral:rRNA from 1 species
AGUGAACGCUGGCGGUAGGCCUAACACAUGCAAGUCGAACGGCAGCACAGUAAGAGCUUGCUCUUACGGGUGGCGAGUGGCGGACGGGUGAGGAACACAUCGGAAUCUACUUUUUCGUGGGGGAUAACGUAGGGAAACUUACGCUAAUACCGCAUACGACCUACGGGUGAAAGCAGGGGAUCUUCGGACCUUGCGCGAUUGAAUGAGCCGAUGUCGGAUUAGCUAGUUGGCGGGGUAAAGGCCCACCAAGGCGACGAUCCGUAGCUGGUCUGAGAGGAUGAUCAGCCACACUGGAACUGAGACACGGUCCAGACUCCUACGGGAGGCAGCAGUGGGGAAUAUUGGACAAUGGGCGCAAGCCUGAUCCAGCCAUACCGCGUGGGUGAAGAAGGCCUUCGGGUUGUAAAGCCCUUUUGUUGGGAAAGAAAAGCAGCAGGUUAAUACCCCGCUGUUCUGACGGUACCCAUAGAAUAAGCACCGGCUAACUUCGUG